rnacentral:rRNA from 1 species
CCUACGGGAGGCAGCAGUGGGGAAUCUUGCGCAAUGGGCGAAAGCCUGACGCAGCGACGCCGCGUGAGGGAUGAAGGUCUUCGGAUCGUAAACCUCUGUCAGCAGGGAAGAACGGUCACUGUGCUAAUCAGCAGUGAAUUGACGGUACCUGCAAAGAAAGCACCGGCUAACUCCGUGCCAGCAGCCGCGGUAAUACGGAGGGUGCGAGCGUUAAUCGGAAUUACUGGGCGUAAAGCGCUCGUAGGCGGUAUGUCAAGUCAAGGGUGAAAUCCCCGGGCUCAACGGGGGAAGGGCCUUUGAAACUGGCAAACUUGAGUGUGUGAGAGGAUAGUGGAAUUCCAGGUGUAGGAGUGAAAUCCGUAGAUAUCUGGAGGAACAUCAGUGGCGAAGGCGACUAUCUGGCACAUAACUGACGCUGAGGAGCGAAAGCGUGGGUAGCAAACAGGAUUAGAUACCCCAGUAGUC